CUUGAGAAAACUUAAUCAUCGUCAGGCUCAUAACCUGAAGGUCCCUGGUUCAAAUCCAGGUCCCGCAACCA
rnacentral:tRNA from 1 species